UGCGAUACGUAAUGCGAAUUGCAGGAUUCAGUGAGUCAUCGAAAUUUUGAACGCAUAUUGCACUUCCGGGUUAGUCCUGGAAGUAUGCCUGUAUCAGUGUCCGUA
rnacentral:rRNA from 1 species